UGUCCAAUGCGGGGAUCGAACCCGGGUCGUAGUGGUCGUAAACCAAACGGUUUAACCAGCCUUCCACAUAAUUAUGAC
rnacentral:tRNA from 1 species